UACAUGGGGUGCAAACGUUGCUCGGAAUUAUUGGGCGUAAAGUGCACGUAGGCGGUUUGUUAAGUCGGAUGUGAAAUCCCUCGGCUCAACUGAGGAAGUGCAUCCGAAACUGGCAAGCUUGAGUACGAAAGAGGGUCGCGGAAUUCCCGGUGUAGAGGUGAAAUUCGUAGAUAUCGGGAGGAACACCGGUGGCGAAGGCGGCGACCUGGGUCGAUACUGACGCUGAGGCGCGAAAGCUAGGGGAGCAAACAGG
rnacentral:rRNA from 1 species